rnacentral:tRNA from 1 species
UCCCUGGUAGCCUAGUGGUUAAGGAUCUGGCACUGUCACUGCUGUGGCACUGGGUUCAAUCCCUGGCCCAGGAA